UUGGAGGGCAAGUCUGGUGCCAGCAGCCGCGGUAAUUCCAGCUCCAAUAGCGUAUAUUAAAGUUGUCGCAGUUAAAAAGCUCGUAGUUGAAUUUUAGGCCUGGUUGGACGGUCUGCUCUAGGGUUUGUACUGUCCUGACUGGGUCUUACCUUCUGGUGAGCUGUCGUAUUGUUUACUCAGUGCGGCAGGGAACCAGGACUUUUACUUUGAAAAAAUUGAGUGUUUAAAGCAGGCAUUCGCUUGAAUACAUUAGCAUGGAAUAAUAGAAUAGG
rnacentral:rRNA from 1 species